UAUGGCGACCGGCGCACGGGUGAGUAACGCGUAUGCAACUUACCUAUCAGAGGGGGAUAGCCCGGCGAAAGUCGGAUUAAUACCCCAUAAAACAGGGGUCCCGCAUGGGAAUAUUUGUUAAAGAUUCAUCGCUGAUAGAUAGGCAUGCGUUCCAUUAGGCAGUUGGCGGGGUAACGGCCCACCAAACCGACGAUGGAUAGGGGUUCUGAGAGGAAGGUCCCCCACAUUGGUACUGAGACACGGACCAA
rnacentral:rRNA from 1 species